rnacentral:rRNA from 1 species
UCCUACGGGAGGCAGCAGUGGGGAAUAUUGGACAAUGGGGGCAACCCUGAUCCAGCCAUGCCGCGUGUGUGAAGAAGGCCCUCGGGUUGUAAAGCACUUUCAGCGAGGAAGAACGCCUAGCGGUUAAUACCCGCUAGGAAAGACAUCACUCGCAGAAGAGGCACCGGCUAACUCCGUGCCAGCAGCCGCGGUAAUACGGAGGGUGCAAGCGUUAAUCGGAAUUACUGGGCGUAAAGCGCGCGUAGGUGGCUUGAUAAGCCGGUUGUGAAAGCCCCGGGCUCAACCUGGGAACGGCAUCCGGAACUGUCAAGCUAGAGUGCAGGAGAGGAAGGUAGAAUUCCCGGUGUAGCGGUGAAAUGCGUAGAGAUCGGGAGGAAUACCAGUGGCGAAGGCGGCCUUCUGGACUGACACUGACACUGAGGUGCGAAAGCGUGGGUAGCAAACAGGAUUAGAUACCCUGGUAGUCCACGCCGUAAACGAUGUCGACCAGCCGUUGGGUGCCUAGCGCACUUUGUGGCGAAGUUAACGCGAUAAGUCGACCGCCUGGGGAGUACGGCCGCAAGGUUAAAACUCAAAUGAAUUGACGG